rnacentral:rRNA from 1 species
UGCGUAGGCGGAUAAAUAAGUCAGUGGUGAAAUCUUUCGGCUCAACCGGGAAACUGCCAUUGAUACUGUUUAUCUUGAGUUCGGCAGAGGUAGGCGGAAUGUGUAAUGUAGCGGUGAAAUGCUUAGAUAUUACACAGAACACCAAUUGCGUAGGCAGCUUACUAUACCGACACUGCCGCUGAGGCACGAAAGCGUGGGGAGCGAACAGGAUUAGAUACCCUGGUAGUCC